GAUUUGUUGUCCACUUAUUAAAUGGCUAAAUGAGUGAGACUAAUAACAAAAAAUGCAUUGGUAUGGAAAACUUUUAAUAAUACCUCCGAGUAUUCAUUGAUGGCAAAUUCAGUUAGGACAUGUGAUGAUUAUGUCAUGUGAUUUCAAAGUCCUUUGUCAGAUAAAUAAAAAUUCCAAAGCUUUCAAGCCUAAAGUUUACCCUAAAGUGCAGAAUUUUGAGUUUCAUGAUUUUACAUCUUACGCUUCUGUAACAGGCUAUCAGAAGAGACUGAAAUCAUUAGAGGAGAAACAGAGUAGAUGAAACAAUUUUGAAAAAAGUGAAAGGAAGAAUGUUAUAGUAACAUUGCAACAAUUAGCUAAAGCAUACCUGCACCACUGGAGAAAAUUGAGACAGAAUCUUGCUGUGCUGCCUAGGCUGGCCUUGAACUCCUGGACUUAAGUGAUAGAUCCUCCCUACACCUCAGCCUCCUAAGUAUUUGGGACAGUUUUUAAACAAAGUAAUGCAUGCUUAUUAUACAAACUUAAACAAUUCUGAAUUGCCAUGUAAAAAAUUAAUAAAAUCCUAUUUUUUCCUUCAAUUCCAUACUUCUAGAGGUAACUAAUGUUAAAAUUGAUGUGUGCUCUUCAACAUCUAUCUUGUGUCCUU